GGUGAUGGUGAUGGUGAUGGUGAUGGUGAUGGUGAUGGUGGUGAUGGUGAUGGUGAUGGUGAUGGUGAUGGUGAUGGUGAUGGUGAUGAUGAUGGUGAUGGUGGUGAUGGUGAUGAUGGUGGUGAUGAUGAUGGUGAUGAUGAUGGUGAUGAUGAUGGUGAUGAUGGUGGUGAUGAUGGUGGUGAUGAUGAUGAUGAUGAUGAUGAUGAUGAUGAUGAUGAUGAUGAUGAUGAUGGUGAUGAUGAUGAUGAUGAUGAUGAUGAUGAUGAUGAUGGUGAUGAUGGUGGUGAUGAUGGUGGUGAUGAUGGUGGUGAUGAUGGUGGUGAUGAUGAUGGUGGUGAUGAUGAUGAUGGUGGUGGUGAUGAUGAUGAUGAUGAUG